AAGAGGGAAAGACAUACUAAAGAGCUGCUAACUCUUCAAGACUGGGGUUUAAAUCCACAGCCCACUUA
rnacentral:tRNA from 1 species